UCGCAGGAGUGAAGCUGCCGGUUCACUCUUCAAAGCGUCGUUUUACUCUCGCAAAAUGUCGAGGAGAGUGAAAUGCAUUGUUCACUCUGUCACCAAGGAGAGAGUGAAAUGUGCUUUUCACUCUCCCCUUCAGAGAGAGAGAGUGAAAAGACUCUUGCGACAAUAGAAAAGAGAGACUCUUGCGGCAAUAGAAAACAAAACGUAGCGUAAUCUUCUGCUUCAACUGUAGGUGGCUGGCCCCUAACAUGGCAAUGUAUCAUUCAUGCACGCUGAGCAAAGAACACAUCGUUUUGCUUCUAAGAGAACAGGCCGCCGCAGUUCAAAGGAACGCGUAGCGAGCGCUCUACUUUUUCACUCGGAGUUGCUCCACCGCGCGCGCGCGCGCUCAAGAUCGCGGAACAACACAGCACCGAAAGGUGAUCCCUCCGCCGAGCAGCACAGCAGCAGCAAAGGCCAGCCAAGGGAGAUCGUAUGUCAGCCAUCUCGCGUCGCCACGAAAACACGACAGUCGUUCGUCAUGCCUUGGAUAUAACAGCAAAUCCUCCACGGCACCCGCUUUAUAUAACGCAAGAAGGCAGCUGCAAGGACACGAGGAUGUGAAAGAGCCAGUGCAGCGCGACCUCACGUAGUGCAGAGGAGCCAAUGCCAAAAAAUCAAAAUACAUUGGCAUGUUAUUUGGACAAGAAAACUAGGACAACCCAGGACGUGCAUUUCUCAGCACCCAGUCAACUGCUAAAAGUGACUCAAACACAGGCCACCAGUGGAACUCGGCUGUACCACUGCAGUGCUGCGGAAAUUGCCUUCACCAGCGGCUUUGCAACAGCUGUUUCGCAGCAUGUCGGAGACAAUGCCUACGAAAUUAUUGGCCCUGAUCAUGAGAGCCCUCAAGGGGCAAACAACUCUGUUGCAGAAGUGAGCCCGAUACCACUUGGAAGUUACCAUGACAGAUGACACGGCAGCAAUAGAUACAGAGACUGCCAUGUCUACUGCAGCUGCAACAGUGUACGAGGCAAGCAGCAGUGCGUCAGCAUCAGCAGCAGUGUCAGAAGGAACCACACCAGGCCUGGUAGAGCAACAUGUGUGCUAUCACUGACUUUUUUUGUAGUGGAUACAACUCAUUUGCUCAACAUACAAAAGCUUUUCACCACGACUGUGAGCCAGUGUUAUUGUGCAGCAAGUGCAAGACUAAGUUAGGUGUUAUAACACAGUACAAGCAUCACUUUAAUAUAUGCAAAUGCAAACAUAUUACAUUUGUUGCCUCCCCAGCCAGCCCACAUAGUGACAACAAUGUGGAACACAUGGUGGGACACACCUCUCCCCCAUUACAAGAUAGUAGAGACUGUCAGUGUUGUUGCUAGAUUGACCGGUCGUUGUAGGCAACUAGAAGGACAACACAGGUGUCAUAAGAUUGUUGUUGAUGUUGUUGAAGAGGUAAAAAAGAAGUUUGAUGCAGCUGAAGUGCCAACUGAUAUUGAGCAAAUCAAAAGCAACCACCUGAGAAAGCAACACUAUCGAAAUUUGGGUAUCUAUGUGCCGCCAGCUCUGGUAAGAAUGGCAUAGGACAGAAGUGUGAUGAAAAUCACACAGACACUGCUGUUGCAUCACUGGCCACAGUGAGCAGCGACUUGUAGGGCAAGAGAGUCAACUGAAACUAACAUUAUGAUAUCAUGCUCCCAUGUGACCACUUUUCAAGUUAUUUUGCAAGAUACAGCUCAACCUCCAGAAACGAGACUGCAACUUGUCUGUAAAAAAGCUUUCACAAAAAAUUAUUCAUAACACUAUUAACAUAGCAGUAUCUUUUUUUUUGUGUGUCGGUUCGAGGUUCCCGGCUGUCCAUUAAUGCAAAAAUUGAGGAAAAAAAGAACAUGUGUCGUACUUACACCUUUUUAACAAGUACGAGGGGGACAGAACUUUUCUAGUCAUGCAUCUUCAUCAUACUAUCAAGUUUUUAAAUGCCUUUUAUAAUUAUUAUUACCAGUUAUAUCUGAGGGCAUUGUAUGCAUGUAGCAGGUGUAAAAUCGGGUCAGUUGGAUCAGAUGCCUUAUCUGCAAGCGAGCCCUAUAUUCAGGAAAUUUGAAUUAAAAUAGUUACGUUAGAGACGCAGUCUUUCAGCACUUUAUUGCCUGUGGUUUAAGCAUUGCUCAAUACUUUUGUGGGUGGCAAUUUCAACCGGCACAGCACUGCGCUUUGCCACAGUCACAUUUGUCUUCCAAGCGGUGUUUACCAUUUGUGUUGAUGUGUUUGUGUAUGCAUAGAGCAAGUUUUAAAUUUAUAUUUUUCUGCAUUCUUGUGCUUGCACUAAGCUUGUAUAAGGCAGUUACAAAAUGUGUGUCACUAUAACAAACUGUUCUGUUGAGCUUACACUUGCAAAUAAUCGUGUUCAGAUGGCCGCACUUCUAUGCAGGUGCACCGCUAGCUUUGUGUAUGUUCUCAUGUUUGUAUAAAGCUUAUAUAAGCUAGUUAGAAAAUGUAUGUCACUAAGCAUUGUGAUAUUCUUUAAAGAACUGCUUGGUUGGUUUUACACUUGUGAAUUAGUAUUGAGGCGGUGGUAUUCCCAUGUAUGCCCACUGCUAGCUUUCUGUGUCCUCACGUGUUUGUAUUAAGUUUCUACAAGGGAGUUACAGCAUGUACGUCACUAAGCGCUGUGAUAUUUUUUAAAGAACUGCUUUGUUGGUUUUACACCUGUGAGUAAUAGUACUCGGGUGGCACUAGUCAUGUGUAGGUACACAGGGACCAUUUGUAUACAUUAUGCUCAUGUAAAGCAGUUACAAAGUGUAUGUCACUAAUUACUGUGAUAUUUGUUGAAUUGCUGUGAUGGUUUUACACAUGUGAAUAAUAGUGGUCAGGACACAGUACUUGCGGUGUAUAGUUGAAUUUAUACACUGCCAAGACAUGGGCUGUAUACGUACCAAAAGAAAUGUAUGUCAUUAUAUUGUUGUGAUUAUUACUGUUUGGAUUUUAUUAAACUGUAAUAAAAUUGUUUCUUGUAUCUAUUGAGGUAUGGCAAUUUGUCAUGCAACCAAACUGAGGACCUGAACUUGUGCAUACAAAUAAACAGCUAAUUAAAGAGUA